GCCUUGCUGGCGCAAUGGUAGCGCGCCAGACUUCUACUUGUAUAUCGGAAUCUGGAGGUUGCGGGUUCGAGUCCCGCGUGAGGUG
rfam:Baudoinia panamericana TAMH 10762 unplaced genomic scaffold BATCOscaffold_1, whole genome shotgun sequence.